rnacentral:lncRNA from 1 species
AAACCAUCCAGGAGAUCAUGAUGAAUCACCCCGAGAUGGUCACAGCAGACAAGCAGGACUGUUUCAGGAGGAAUUCUGGAGGUCAGCAUCACCACCGACGUCUGAAAUAGGAACACGUUUUGGGUUUCUGCUGGAUUGUUGCCAUUUUCUCAGGAGUUAACCUGUGGCGGAUUUGAGGACCAGCAAAUUAGAACCCCACGAUGACAUAGGUAAAAGCCUCACACACUAAAACAUCCAUGAUGGCUUGUCUCCAACCACACAUCCGUGUUUCACGUAAGCAAUGCACUCUCACUGCAGAAAACCUGGAAAGGUACCUCUGGGUCUUAGUAUACGUGGGGAAAAACCAAAUCCAUCUAUGGUCUUCCAAUACAAAUAACAACCACUGUUAAUUCUUUAUAUAAAUAAUUUUCUAUAAAAAUCAUAUUCAUGUGCAUUUUAUCUAAUACUAUUCAUAUGAACUUACAUUAUCAUUUCCACAGUAGUUGUGUGUGAGGCAUAAUUAUAAAUGCUUAUACGAUAUUCAGUUAGACAG